rnacentral:rRNA from 1 species
GAUGAACGCUGGCGGUGUGCCUAAUACAUGCAAGUCGAGCGAAUGGAUUAAGAGCUUGCUCUUAUGAAGUUAGCGGCGGACGGGUGAGUAACACGUGGGUAACCUGCCCAUAAGACUGGGAUAACUCCGGGAAACCGGGGCUAAUACCGGAUAACAUUUUGAGUCGCAUGGUUCGAAAUUGAAAGGCGGCUUCGGCUGUCACUUAUGGAUGGACCCGCGUCGCAUUAGCUAGUUGGUGAGGUAACGGCUCACCAAGGCAACGAUGCGUAGCCGACCUGAGAGGGUGAUCGGCCACACUGGGACUGAGACACGGCCCAGACUCCUACGGGAGGCAGCAGUAGGGAAUCUUCCGCAAUGGACGAAAGUCUGACGGAGCAACGCCGCGUGAGUGAUGAAGGCUUUCGGGUCGUAAAACUCUGUUGUUAGGGAAGAACAAGUGCUAGUUGAAUAAGCUGGCACCUUGACGGUACCUAACCAGAAAGCCACGGCUAACUACGUGCCAGCCGCCGCCGUAA